rnacentral:tRNA from 1 species
GUGAGUGUAGCUCAGUUGGUUAGAGCAUCUGGUUGUGGUCCAGAGGGUCGUGGGUUCAAAUCCCAUCACUCACCCCA